UACGUAGGGCGCAAGCGUUAUCCGGAAUUAUUGGGCGUAAAGAGCUCGUAGGCGGUUUGUCGCGUCUGCCGUGAAAGUCCGGGGCUCAACUCCGGAUCUGCGGUGGGUACGGGCAGACUAGAGUGAUGUAGGGGAGACUGGAAUUCCUGGUGUAGCGGUGAAAUGCGCAGAUAUCAGGAGGAACACCGAUGGCGAAGGCAGGUCUCUGGGCACUAACUGACGCUGAGGAGCGAAAGCGUGGGGAGCAAACAGG
rnacentral:rRNA from 1 species